rnacentral:misc_RNA from 1 species
UUAAGUUCAGCGGGUAAUCCUACCUGAUUUGAGGUCAAAUGGUUCAAAAUUGUCCAAGUUAAUGGACUGUUUGAAGCAGCUACUUUUAAAUACUAACCAACCCUUGGAGUAGAUAUUAUCACACCAGGAUAUGGUCAAUCAGUAACCACUAAUACAUUUAAGGAGAGCAGACUUCUGAGAAGCCUGCAACCCCCACAUCC